rnacentral:rRNA from 1 species
AUUGAACGCUGGCGGCAUGCUUUACACAUGCAAGUCGAACGGUAACAGGCCGCAAGGUGCUGACGAGUGGCGAACGGGUGAGUAAUGCAUCGGAACGUGCCCAGUCGUGGGGGAUAACUACUCGAAAGAGUAGCUAAUACCGCAUACGAUCUAUGGAUGAAAGCGGGGGACCGUAAGGCCUCGUGCGAUUGGAGCGGCCGAUGUCAGAUUAGGUAGUUGGUGGGGUAAAGGCUCACCAAGCCAACGAUCUGUAGCUGGUCUGAGAGGACGACCAGCCACACUGGGACUGAGACACGGCCCAGACUCCUACGGGAGGCAGCAGUGGGGAAUUUUGGACAAUGGGCGCAAGCCUGAUCCAGCAAUGCCGCGUGCAGGAAGAAGGCCUUCGGGUUGUAAACUGCUUUUGUACGGAACGAAACGGCUCUGGUUAAUACCCGGGGCUAAUGACGGUACCGUAAGAAUAAGCACCGGCUAACUACGUG